UAACACGUGAGUAACCUGCCCCCGAUUUCGGGAUAAGCCCGGGAAACUGGGUCUAAUACCGGAUACGACCAAUCCUCGCAUGAGGGUUGGUGGAAAGUUUUUCGAUCGGGGAUGGGCUCGCGGCCUAUCAGCUUGUUGGUGGGGUAAUGGCCUACCAAGGCGACGACGGGUAGCCGGCCUGAGAGGGCGACCGGCCACACUGGGACUGAGACACGGCCCAGACUCCUACGGGAGGCAGCAGUGGGGAAUAUUGCACAAUGGGGGAAACCCUGAUGCAGCGACGCAGCGUGCGGGAUGACGGCCUUCGGGUUGUAAACCGCUUUCAGCAGGGAAGAAGCCGUAAGGUGACGGUACCUGCAGAAGAAGUACCGGCUAACUACGUGCCAGCAGCCGCGGUAAUACGUAGGGUACGAGCGUUGUCCGGAAUUAUUGGGCGUAAAGAGCUCGUAGGUGGUUGGUCACGUCUGCUGUGGAAACGCAACGCUUAACGUUGCGCGUGCAGUGGGUACGGGCUGACUAGAGUGCAGUAGGGGAGUCUGGAAUUCCUGGUGUAGCGGUGAAAUGCGCAGAUAUCAGGAGGAACACCGGUGGCGAAAGCGGGACUCUGGGCUGUAACUGACACUGAGGAGCGAAAGCAUGGGGAGCGAACAGGAUUAGAUACCCUGGUAGUCCAUGCCGUAAACGUUGGGCACUAG
rnacentral:rRNA from 1 species